GACGAACGCUGGCGGCGUGCUUAACACAUGCAAGUCGAACGGAAAGGCCCCUUCGGGGGUACUCGAGUGGCGAACGGGUGAGUAACACGUGAGUAACCUGCCCUUGACUUCGGGAUAACUUCAGGAAACUGGGGCUAAUACCGGAUAGGAAUCCUUGCUGCAUGGUGGGGGUUGGAGAGCUUCGGCGGUUUUGGAUGGACUCGCGGCUUAUCAGCUUGUUGGUGGGGUAGUGGCUUACCAAGGCUUUGACGGGUAGCCGGCCUGAGAGGGCGACCGGCCACAUUGGGACUGAGAUACGGCCCAGACUCCUACGGGAGGCAGCAGGGGGGAAUAUUGCACAAUGGGCGGAAGCCUGAUGCAGCAACGCCGCGUGCGGGAGGACGGCCUUCGGGUUGUAAACCGCUUUCAGCAGGGGCGAAGCUUGUGGUGACGGUACCUGCAGAAGAAGCACCGGCUAACUACGUG
rnacentral:rRNA from 1 species